GACGAACGCUGGCGGCGUGCUUAACACAUGCAAGUCGAACGGAAAGGCCCUGCUUUUGUGGGGUGCUCGAGUGGCGAACGGGUGAGUAACACGUGAGUAACCUGCCCUUGACUUUGGGAUAACUUCAGGAAACUGGGGCUAAUACCGGAUAGGAGCUCCUGCUGCAUGGUGGGGGUUGGAAAGUUUCGGCGGUUGGGGAUAGACUCGCGGCUUAUCAGCUUGUUGGUGGGGUAGUGGCUUACCAAGGCUUUGACGGGUAGCCGGCCUGAGAGGGUGACCGGCCACAUUGGGACUGAGAUGCGGCCCAGACUCCUACGGGAGGCAGCAGUGGGGAAUAUUGCACAAUGGGCGGAAGCCUGAUGCAGCAACGCCGCGUGCGGGAUGGCGGCCUUCGGGUUGUAAACCGCUUUCGCCUGUGACGAAGCGUGAGUGACGGUAAUGGGUAAAGAAGCACCGGCUAACUACGUG
rnacentral:rRNA from 1 species